UACGUAGGGUGCAAGCGUUUGUCCGGAAUUAUUGGGCGUAAAGAGCUCGUAGGCGGUCUGUCGCGUCUGCUGUGAAAACCUAGGCUUAACUCUGGCGUGCAGUGGUACGGCAGACUAGAGUGUGGUAGGGAGACUGGAUUCCUGGUGUAGCGGUGAAAUGCGCAGAUAUCAGGAGGAACACCGAUGGCGAAGGCAGGUCUCUGG
rnacentral:rRNA from 1 species